CUCACGAGUCGGUGUUUCCAGAAAAAAGACCAUGGUCAAAGGGGCGGGGCCUGUCCGGGGCGCGAGGCCGAAGCUUGUUCUGAGCUGGCUCGCGGUCGUGUGCUGGACUUGUCCGGUCAUCGGCGGCGACGCAGGUGUGACGCUGCUGGUGGUUCCCGAGGUCCGGGCUCAGUGCGGGAGCAACGUGACCCUGACAUGCGACGUCCAGUCAUCGAGAGAGAUCCUUGUGCAAAAACUGGUCUGGGGGACCGACAGAUCCAA